ncrna:unclassified sequences Glutamine riboswitch
AUCGUUCAUCCCAUUAUUGGGACGGAAGUAGUCAAUUUAGACGAAGGAACGCAUU